rnacentral:rRNA from 1 species
AUGAACGCUAGCGGCAGGCUUAAUACAUGCAAGUCGAGGGGCAGCAUGAGUAGCAAUACUUGAUGGCGACCGGCAAACGGGUGCGGAACACGUACACAACCUUCCUUAAGUGGGAAUAGCCCAGAGAAAUUUGGAUUAAUACCCCGUAACAUAUAGAUGUGGCAUCACAAUUAUAUUAUAGGUUUACCGCUUAAAGAUGGGUGUGCGGCUGAUUAGAUAGUUGGCGGGGUAAUGGCCCACCAAGUCUACGAUCAGUAGCUGAUGUGAGAGCAUGAUCAGCCACACGGGCACUGAGACACGGGCCCGACUCCUACGGGAGGCAGCAGUAAGGAAUAUUGGACAAUGGACGCAAGUCUGAUCCAGCCAUGCCGCGUGAAGGAUUUAAGGUCCUCUGGAUUGUAAACUUCUUUUAUAUGGGACGAAAAAAGGGCAUUCUUGCUCACUUGACGGUACCAUAUGAAUAAGCACCGGCUAACUCCGUG